AAUGGGCGGGAGCCUGAACCAGCCAAGUCGCGUGAAGGAAGAAGGAUCCAUGGUUCGUAAACUUCUUUUGCAGGGGAAUAAAGUGCGGGACGUGUCCUGCUUUGUAUGUACCCUGAGCAUAAGGAUCGGCUAACUCCGUGCCAGCAGCCGCGGUAAUACGAAGGAUCCGAGCGUUAUCCGGAUUUAUUGGGUUUAAAGGGUGCGUAGGUGGUUUGAUAAGUCAGCGGUGAAAGUUUGCAGCUUAAAUGUAAAAANGCCGUUGAAGCUGUCGGACUUGAGUGUAAAUGAGGUAGGCGGAAUGCGUGGUGUAGCGGUGAAAUGCAUAGAUAUCACGCAGAACUCCGAUUGCGAAGGCAGCUUACUAAGCUACAACUGACACUGAAGCACGAAAGCGUGGGGAUCAAA
rnacentral:rRNA from 1 species